UUCGGAAUGAAUUUGAUUUAGUUUAGUGGCGGACGGGUGAGUAACGCGUGAGUAACCUGCCUUUCAGAGGGGGAUAACAUUUGGAAACGACUGCUAAUACCGCAUGACACAUAGGUGUCGCAUGGCACUUAUGUCAAAGAUUUAUCGCUGAAAGAUGGCCUCGCGUCUGAUUAGCUAGUUGGUGAGGUAACGGCCCACCAAGGCGACGAUCAGUAGCCGGACUGAGAGGUUGAACGGCCACAUUGGAACUGAGAUACGGUCCAGACUCC
rnacentral:rRNA from 1 species